rnacentral:rRNA from 1 species
GACGAACGCUGACGGCGUGCUUAACACAUGCAAGUCGAACGGAAAGGCACUGCUUUUGUGGGGUGCUCGAUUGGCGAACGGGUGAGUAACACGUGAGUAACCUGCCCUUGACUUUGGGAUAACUUCAGGAAACUGGGGCUAAUACCCGAUAGGAGCUCCUGCUGCAUGGUGGGGUUUAGAAAGUUUCGGCGGUUGGGGAUGGACUCGCGGCUUAUCAGCUGGUUGGUGGGGUAGUGGCUUACGAAGGCUUUGACGGGUAGCCGGCCUGAGAGGGUGACCGGCCACAUUGGGACUGAGAUACGGACCAGACUCCUACGGGAGGCAGCAGUGGGGAAUAUUGCACAAUGGGCGGAAGCCUGAUGCAGCAACGCCGCGUGCGGGAUGACGGCCUUCGGGUUGUAAACCGCUUUCGCCUGUGACGAAGCGUGAGUGACGGUAAUGGGUAAAGAAGCACCGGCUAACUACGUG